rnacentral:misc_RNA from 1 species
AAGUCGUAACAAGGUUUCCGUAGGUGAACCUGCGGAAGGAUCAUUAACAAAUCUACUACACACGAUCUCUUGGCGCAAGCCUCGAGUAUCUUACACACGAUAAACUUUGACGAAGCUAUAGACGAAUCUAAAGCAAAACAACUUUUAACAAUGGAUCUCUUGGUUCUG